UUUAAUUUUUCUUUGUGGAUCUUGCAGAAAAUACUUGUCUUCAGAGGCUUUUCCCUUGGGAGAGCUCAGGAGUUCUUGUUACCAGUGCUUGCAGCAAAGAGAAGUCUUCAAGUUUCCUUGAACAAAGAAAUAAUGACAAUUUGAAAACAUCCAUUUUUCAAUUUCUAAACAGAAACUCUACAUGAUAAGAAUGGAUUGUGCUUUCCUAUUUGACAGAAGUGGAAAUAGGAGCUCAGAUGUAUUAAGAAAUACAGCCUGGAAAGCAUUUAAGUGCUGCUAGAAUACAUGGGACUUAGGAGCAUAAAUAUCACUUCAGAUUUGGCCCUCGUAUAUGACAGUGACAUCUUCACUGUUUUUGCUAAAAUAAUUACCUAGCUACCAAGAAGGAAAUCUGAUAUUUUAUGUAUGUUAAUGUUACUCACUGAGGUUCUCUGUAAAACUGUCCAAGCCAAAAUGUUUUCGGCUGUUUGCAAUUUUAUUACUGAUGCAGUCCAGGAAUGAGAAAGUACCAGGAGUCCCAGAUAUGGAGUUUACCUUUUUUUCCUUCUAACACUCCAUCUUACUAACAUACACUCUCUUUCUUGAUUCAUAACUCAGUGCUACAACACACUGCUGGUGUUUUACAAUUUUCUUUACAUCCUGGACUAGUGGCAGGAAAGAAGCCUCAAGAGGAGGACAGCAACCUCUCCUCACUUCAACUCUUCACAAAGAGGAAGAAUGAAUAGUUCUCUUAGUGGGAAAUGAACCUCAGGAAGCUCUCCAAAGAGUCGAUUUGAACUAUUCAUGUGUUGUGCAGAGGUUCCUAGCAUGCCAAGGGAACUCGGCAUUGAAUGAAGAAGACUGGGAGUGAAUUAAUUUGGGGG